rnacentral:lncRNA from 10 species
GACUGUCCCCAUACUAGGGAAGGCAUCGAGCUUGAGGAAGAGGCCCCAUUCAUCUCCGUACCCCAGGCCCUGGUACACAGCAGAUAAACCUGCCAGUAAUUUCAGCAAAUGAAACGUGGAACACGUCAAGGCCAGAGGAUGGAAAAGGCUCCAGUUUUGAUAAAAGGAGGCCUGCUUGGCUUGGAAUCCUCUCUCCUGCUGGUUGGGAGAUGCAAAGAUGUUUCCAGAGAGGGGCUGAUGAAUUGAGGGGAAAGAAAUGAGCCCAGUAUGAGUCCCCUUUCAGGGCUGAGCGUGUAUAAAACCAAACAACUUGGAACCGCUCCAAGAGAGGGGAUUAAAGCAACAUGUUAUUCUGAGUGAUUGCUUAAUUUAUUGAGCUGCGGCUGGAUCUGUAAUGAAAUACAGCCCUUGUAACUGAUAACCUCCUGCUGCCAUUGAACUUCUACAAUUAAGGAAUAUUUUCUGAGUUUCUCUGGAACGGCUCUGAAUUUUUAGCCUCUGUGGUAGGGUGCUUCUGAACAUUUGUUUUCCAGGCAAUUUUUUUUGAGUAUUAGGCUGAUGUUAAUAAAUAAGCAGCAUUUUAUUGAGUGUUUUGUGGGAACCAGGAACUUUAUAUACAUUGUUUCUAAUCCUGACACUAAUCCUGUCAAUAUCCAGUGAAAUAACCCCUAUUAUUCCCUAUUUUACAGAUGUGAAGCCACGAGACGUUAGGUCAUUUUCUAGAGUGGUGCUGUCCAAGACAGUAGCUGUGAUGGCUCCUUGUGGCUAUUGAUGUGUAAAUUAGUUAAAAUUAAAUAAAUUUUAACAUUUACACCCUAGGUUGCACUAACAAUGAGUUCAAGUGCCCAGCAGCCCCGUGUACUGUGGCUGAUGGCUACCACAUUGGACAGUGCAGAUAUAG